rnacentral:rRNA from 1 species
GACGAACGCUGGCGGCGUGCUUAACACAUGCAAGUCGAACGGUGAAGGGAUCAGCUUGCUGGUUCUGGAUGAGUGGCGAACGGGUGAGUAACACGUGAGUAACCUGCCCCCUUCUUCUGGAUAACCGCAUGAAAGUGUGGCUAAUACGGGAUAUUCUGGGUCUGUCGCAUGAUGGGUCUGGGAAAGAUAUUGUUUCGGUGGGGGAUGGGCUCGCGGCCUAUCAGCUUGUUGGUGGGGUGAUGGCCUACCAAGGCGGUGACGGGUAGCCGGCCUGAGAGGGUGGACGGUCACACUGGGACUGAGACACGGCCCAGACGCCUACGGGAGGCAGCAGUGGGGAAUAUUGCACAAUGGGCGCAAGCCUGAUGCAGCGACGCCGCGUGAGGGAGGGAGGCCUUCGGGUUGUAAACCUCUUUCGCCAGUGAAGCAGGCCUGCUCCUUGUGGGUGGGUUGACGGUAGCUGGAGAAGAAGCGCCGGCUAACUACGUG